UUUAGUGAAGCAAUUAAUUGACAUGUACGACGGUGACCGCUCCGUGAAUUUAGUUGAUAGAUAUCGUAUAACCACCCUCUCUCGAAAUAGCAUUUUCGUUUACAUUUGGAGGGGGAAAAAAAAAACUUUCAAUACCUCAACGGGUUAUAAGUUUAUCAAUCAAUUAUCAAAAACUAUCAAAAAUAAAAUACUACUAAAUCGGAAUAUCAAAUUCAGCAUACAAAAAUAAAAUACUAUUAUGUUUUUUGCAUCUCUUAUUUUAAUAAUCAUUUUUAGAACACUGACACAACAAAUCUAAAGCCCAGUGGGCUAAUUAGGGCGGUGCCCUAAAUACACGCACUUUAUUUUUCCUAGGUUUUGACGUCACUCAAACUCUAUAAAACGGACCGAAAUUUUCUGUCUGAACCUGCGCCGUGCUUGUGUCUGAAAACCCGACAGAAAAAAAUGCCACCGAUACCUUCGCUGGAAGAUCUCCAUCGCCUAAGGCCGCCGCCUGAACCUCCGCCGCCGAGGUAUGCCUUCAAUUCCAUCUUCUUGAUUUGCUGUUUGCAUGCAAAAAAAAAAAAAAAAAAAUGGAUUGAUUUUUUUUUUCUGGUUUUGGCUAUCCGCUGCAGCCCAUUAUAAUUAAAAAUCUUAUAAGUGGCUGAUCUUUGUUUUUUUUUUUUUUAAAUCCGAUUUGAUUAUGGACAUGUUUUUUGUUCCGGAUAUUUGAUUUGUGGUGUGUUUCUUUUCCGGGCAGAUUUAUUCAGACAAUUUAUUGAUUGAUUUGUAACUUUACACGUUAAUUACAUUGUUUAUUGACAGAUCUUUGUUUUUUGUUUUAAACCCCGAUUUGAUCAUGUUUGAUUAUUACACAGAUGGAUGUUUAAAAACCUGAUUUAUACUUUCUUUUUAUUUGCUUUUUUGACAUACAGAUGGAGGAGAAGCAUAUCGAACAAUAUUCUUGUCAGCGACAUUAGGAUCUCUUUAAUUAGUAGUGCAGUUGAUAGUGUUGGAGUGUUGGAAAAGGUUGAUAAUUAUAGAAUUAUCCAGUGUGCAAUUAUCUUCCUUAAAGCCACCUUCCAUUUACUUAUCAAUUGCAUGGCGGAAAUUUUUAAAAGCUGCGGGCACAAGAUUUGGAGCUCAGUGUGGAUGGUCAGAGCAUGAUGAAGCUCAUUUUUUAGCGAUGAAAACCCCGUGGUCAACUGCCUAAGUUUGGCAAAAUGAUUUAUUUGACCAAAAAAUACAUUGAUUUUAACGGGUGGGGACUACUUGCUCGCCUGCUUGGCUGUGCACCAAUGCUAGAGAAGCUGUGCACCAAUGCUAGAGAAGCUGAUGUUCAGAUCGGGUUUUGACGAUGAAAGCUAUGGUAUGUGGCAAAAUGGUAAUAGUAAAGAAGGAAUUCUUGAGUAUUAGAUAAUGGUUCUUAAUGUGGAACACAUGGGGUAUAUCUCGAGGAUUUAAAUGAGGCCAAGAUAGCUGAUUAAUCAUAUUAGAAGAUAUGACAUUGAGCUAGAUUUUCUAGAUUGGUGUAUCUGGAUUGCUCGUGGAGGAAAAUCUAUUCGUCCACACUGAUAAAAACAUUCUCAUACGGGGAUAUGUAUUCAGGGAAAUCGACCGGGUUUAUAUAAAAGAGGAGCUACAUUCAUAUGAAUAUAAAUUAGCUUUAUUCCGACUGAAUUUGAGGUGCUAGAAACAUUAUGGUAUUUUAGAAUGUUCCUAACACCUCAAAUUCGGUCUUAGGAGAAAGAGAAGACGCUGAUAGGAAAACAAAAUGUAGCGACAAGACAAAUUAAUUCAUAUGAAUUUAACUCCUCUUUAUCGUCAACUCCGUUAUUUCCCCUUUCUAUCCCUUAUAGAAAUAGUUCACUUUCCGUUUGUUGAAAUUAUAUAUGAACAAGUGUACUUGCGUCAAAGUUUGUAGAUUGUAUUUUACUAUGUACGAAACUAGUUUUUCAGGUUCAUAUGUUUGUAAUAAUCUUGGACUUGUCUUAUUCUUAAGAAUGUAUCAUGCCAAAAGAUGUAAUGAUCUUUAAUUUUGACGGAAUGUUAUUAGGAAACCCGAUAAAUCUUAAAAUUCAAAAAGAAUAAAAAUUAUCAUGCAACUAUGACAUAGUUACAUAAUAUUUUAAUUAUAAGUUCUUCCCCAAGAUUUCCUAACAAUUAAGUAAUUUCAUGAAUGAAGAAAUUUCUGUUAGGAUAUGCGAAACAUUUGAUACACACUGCUGAACGAAAUUUUAUAAGUAACUAGCAUUU